rnacentral:lncRNA from 1 species
UCAUUUUUAGUUUGGGGCAGAAGCAAAAAUUUAUUUUGAACUAGGGCCAAAAUUGUAAUUGUAAUUGUAAUAUGGGGAUAAAACAUAAUUUUGAGCCGAGGGCAAAAUCGCAAUUUUGAGCGAGGGACAAAAACAUAAUUUUAUUUUGAAGUCGGGGCAAAAACGUAAUUUUAUGUUAAAUUAAGGACGAAACCGUAAUUUUGGAACGAAUAUAAAAGAGUAAAACGGUUGGUCCAAUGAGGGAGCGCCACGAAACCGUAAUUUUAAAACGAAUAUAAAAGAGUAAAACGGAUAUAAAAGAGUAAAACGGUUGGUCCAAUGAGAGAGCGCCACGCAGCUGCGUGGCACUAUUCCUCAAACUUCCUUUUGUAUAUAUUAGAGCAUUCUCAUCCAAUCCAUCAAAUUAUACAUACAUUCCACUAAA